rnacentral:rRNA from 1 species
AUUGAACGCUGGCGGCAGGCCUAACACAUGCAAGUCGAGCGGAUGAAGGGAGCUUGCUCAUGGAUUCAGCGGCGGACGGGUGAGUAAUGCCUAGGAAUCUGCCUGGUAGUGGGGGAUAACGUCCGGAAACGGGCGCUAAUACCGCAUACGUCCUGAGGGAGAAAGUGGGGGUUCUUCGGACCUCACGCUAUCAGAUGAGCCUAGGUCGGAUUAGCUAGUUGGUGGGGUAAAGGCCUACCAAGGCGACGAUCCGUAACUGGUCUGAGAGGAUGAUCAGUCACACUGGAACUGAGACACGGUCCAGACUCCUACGGGAGGCAGCAGUGGGGAAUAUUGGACAAUGGGCGAAAGCCUGAUCCAGCCAUGCCGCGUGUGUGAAGAAGGUCUUCGGAUUGUAAAGCACUUUAAGUUGGGAGGAAGGGCAGUAAGUUAAUACCUUGCUGUUUUGACGUUACCAACAGAAUAAGCACCGGCUAACUUCGUG